GAGUCAACAUCCUAGCCAACCUUCACAAAGGCACCAAUGACAACAGGAAUCACAGAGGCUCAUCCAGGAAGCAGUGCUAAUUGUUGGGCGAUUGCUGAGGGACACCCUACUUGAAGAUAUCAGGAAAUCCCCAUGAAUGUGCUGAAGGAACCUAUGCUGCAAUUGUUAGAGGUCAAGGAUGUAAGAUUGAUGUGAAGACAAGACAACAACUAUGUUGAUGAAGUGCCUGCCAUCCAUGAUGUGAUGUCCCUUCACAUGACUGGCUGAUGUUUUGCCUCACCUAGCAGAACUGUCUGUUGCUGUGCCAAGAUGAGGUGUACACAACUGUAAAGCCUCUGUAGAAGGUGGUACAGCCGGGCAAGGCCUACCAAGUGUCUGAAGACAGCGUGACCACCUUGAACCAUCAAGGCUUUACUUCAGAGAUAGAUAUUGACUAUUUCUGGAACAAGAUCUACAUCCCCUUCCUGACGAACAUUGUGGUGAACCUAGAGGAUCGAUUCCCAGACCUGCCACUCCUCCAGAAGUUUGAGGUCUUUAACACCCGGAAAUUCUUUGGGGAGGAGCCAACCUGCCGUGGGGAAGAUGACAUUAAGACUUGGUAGGACAGUAUGUCAGAGAUGGUAUGCUGAAAGCUAAGCAGGCCAAAGUUGAUUGAAAGGAUUCUGCCCUGACCUUUGUGAACUAUACAAGACGGGUUUGUGGAGCAGGGAUAGUGAUGAUGACAGAGG